CUGACUUCUCAGAAUAUGCCUUCUCACAUUUUAGAAGAUUCAGGACUGGGACCCUCUCCUGUUUCCCCACUGAGUGGGUAAUCCAGGUUCACAAUACAUCCGGUGCUUCACAGACAAUACACGGCUUUCAGUUGCUGGACUGUUAUAAGAACAGUGACUCAAACCCUGCAGCAAUUUGUUUCCUGGCUUUCUGUUCAUCGAGAACUCCUCUAGGCACCCUGAUAGAAUCUAUGUAUACUCUAUCAUUGAAUGAUAUUCCUAAGCCUUUUUUACUUCUUCUGGGUAUUUGUGAUGUUUCUCUUUCAAAUGCCAGGGUGAAGGGUAUAGCUAAUUGAACAAGUGCCUCCCCAAUUAGAUGGUAGGGUGGACUGUAAGAUCUUCCCUCCACAGUACCACCAGAGAUCUGCUCUGGAGAUCUCAAGUCUUGAGCAGUUUCCUAUCAAGUCCUUGGUAGCACAAGGCAAAUACUCCCAGAUUCUGGGUAGCACUCACACCCUGCUGUGAGAUGCAAGCUAGGUUACCUAUAGCUGUAGGUUACCUGUAGCUGUAGAGAAUGCAGGGGGAACCAUGAUAUUGCUGUUACACAAGGAAGGGAACAGCAAAGAGAGACACUUACAAGCCUCAUUUUCCCAGGCAGUCUUUUCUUGGAACAAUGCAAUACAACAUUUCUAUUCCCACACCUUGGUAUUUCGCUUUCUUAGAAACUUUCAAUGAUUUUUAAGCUGUCAGUUAUGGUUUGUUACU
rnacentral:lncRNA from 1 species